GACGAACGCUGGCGGCGUGCUUAACACAUGCAAGUCGAACGGAAAGGCCUGCUUUCCCUUGUGGAUUGCGGGUGCUCGAGUGGCGAACGGGUGAGUAACACGUGAGUGAUCUGCCCCCAACUUGGGUAUAAGCCUGGGAAACUGGGUCUAAUUCCCGAUAGGACUGCAGGGUGGUGCCUGUGGUGGAAAACGAUUUUCUAGUGGUUGGGGAUGAGCUCGCGGCCUAUCAGCUUGUUGGUGGGGUAAUGGCCUACCAAGGCGGCGACGGGUAGCCGGCCUGGGAGGGCGGACGGCCACAUUGGGACGGAGAUACGGCCCAGGCUCCUACGGGAGGCAGCAGUGGGGAAUAUUGCACAAUGGGCGGAAGCCUGAUGCAGCGACGCCGCGUGGGGGAUGACGGCCUUCGGGUUGUAAACUCCUUUCGACCGCGAGGAAGCCACCUGGUUGGAAGGGUGGUGACGGUAGUGGGAGAAGAAGCACCGGCUAACUACGUG
rnacentral:rRNA from 1 species